UUAACAAAAACAUGUCCUUUUGAUAAUAAUUUAAGGUCUAAUCUGCCCACUGAUUUAUUGAAUGGCCGCGGUAUUUUGACCGUGCUAAGGUAGCAUAAUAAUUAGUUUCUUAAUUAGAAGCUGGAAUGAAUGAUUGAAUGAGAAAAUUUCUGUCUCAAUUUAAUUUAUUUUGAAUUUUAUUUUUAAGUUAAAAAGCUUAAAUAUUUUUAAAAGACGAGAAGACCCUAUAGAGUUUAAUUUUUAAAUUUUAAAUUUUAUUAUAUAAUUAAAUUAAAAUUUAAUUUAUAAAAAUUUUGUUGGGGUGAUAGAAAAAUUUAAUUAACUUUUUUUAAAUUAAUACAUUUAUAAAUGAAAAAUUGAUCCAUUGUUUUUGAUUAAAAGAAUAAAUUACCUUAGGGAUAACAGCGUAAUCUUUUUUGAGAGUUCAAAUCGAAAAAAAGGAUUGCGACCUCGAUGUUGGAUUAAAAUUAAUUUUUGGUGUAGAAGCUAAAAAAUUAGGUCUGUUCGACCUUUAAAAUUUUACAUGAUCUGAGUUCAGACC
rnacentral:rRNA from 1 species